UACGGGGGGGGCAAGCGUUGUUCGGAAUUACUGGGCGUAAAGGGCUCGUAGGUGGCCAACUAAGUCGGACGUGAAAUCCCUCAGCUUAACUGGGGAACUGCGUCCGAUACUGGAUGGCUUGAGUUUGGGAGAGGGAUGCGGAAUUCCAGGUGUAGCGGUGAAAUGCGUAGAUAUCUGGAGGAACACCGGUGGCGAAGGCGGCAUCCUGGACCGAGAUUGACGCUGAUGCGCGAAAGCCAGGGGAGCAAACGGG
rnacentral:rRNA from 1 species